GAAUGGCAUCUGACAUGAAGAUAACAAAGCUACAUUCCUAAGGCAAGACCAGUUAAUGCUGCAAGGUACAGUGUGGAGCACCAUGUAUGCAGUUUCAAAGAGAAGUCAUAUUUGUGUGAUCGUAUGGGUGAGAAGAAGAGGUGAAUAAUAUGUAAAAAAUGAGACAGGAGUAUAAGAGCAAGCAUUUUAUAUGCCUGAAUUCUGCAAACCAGGUAAAAAGAACACAGUUAUAAUGCUCAAGAAACAUAGCAU
rnacentral:lncRNA from 1 species